rnacentral:rRNA from 1 species
CCUACGGGGGACAGCAGUGGGGAAUAUUGGGCAAUGGGCGCAAGUCUGACCCAGCAACGCCGCGUGAAGGAAGAAGGCCUUCGGGUUGUAAACUUCUUUUCUCAGGGACGAAGCAAGUGACGGUACCUGAGGAAUAAGCCACGGCUAACUACGUGCCAGCAGCCGCGGUAAUACGUAGGGGGCAAGCGUUAUCCGGAUUUACUGGGUGUAAAGGGUGUGUAGGCGGGGAGGCAAGUCAGAUGUGAAAACCACGGGCUCAACCUGUGGACUGCAUUUGAAACUGUGUUUCUUGAGUACUGGAGAGGCAGACGGAAUUCCUAGUGUAGCGGUGAAAUGCGUAGAUAUUAGGAGGAACACCAGUGGCGAAGGCGGUCUGCUGGACAGCAACUGACGCUGAGGCGCGAAAGCGUGGGGAGCAAACAGGAUUAGAUACCCUGGUAGUC